rnacentral:tRNA from 1 species
UAUUUUUAAUUGACAUAGACCAAGUCAUCUAGUAAAAUAAGGAUGAUGCAUCGGGAAUAGCC